rnacentral:rRNA from 1 species
GGGCCCGCACAAGCGGAGGAACAUGUGGUUUAAUUCGAUGAUACGCGAGGAACCUUACCAAGACUUAAAUGUAGAUUGACAGAUCGUGAAAACGAUUUUUCUUCGGACAAUUUACAAGGUGCUGCAUGGUUGUCGUCAGCUCGUGCCGUGAGGUGUCGGGUUAAGUCCCAUAACGAGCGCAACCCCUAUUUUUAGUUACCAGCGAGUAAUGUCGGGAACUCUAGAAAGACUGCCUGUGUAAACAGUGAGGAAGGUGGGAUGACGUCAAAUCAUCACGGCCCUUAUGUCUUGGGCUACACACGUGUUACAAUGGUUACUACAAUGGGCUGCCAUCUGGUAACAGAGAGCAAAUCCAUAAAGGUAAUCCAG